rnacentral:tRNA from 13 species
AUAAGGUGGCUGAGAUGAAGGCGUUAGAUUGUAAAUCUAAAUAGGGGCGUAGAGCUUUCUUAUUAG